rnacentral:rRNA from 1 species
AGAGCGAACGCUGGCGGCAGGCCUAACACAUGCAAGUCGAGCGCCCCGCAAGGGGAGCGGCAGACGGGAGAGUAACACGUGGGAACGUACCCUUUGGUUCGGAACAACACAGGGAAACUUGUGCUAAUACCGGAUAAGCCCUUACGGGGAAAGAUUUAUUGCCAAAGGGUCGGCCCGCGUCUGAUUAGCUUGUUGGUGAGGUAACGGCUCACCAAGGCUACGAUCAGUAGCUGGUCUGAGAGGAUGAUCAGCCUCACUGGGACUGAGACACGGCCCAGACUCCUACGGGAGGCAGCAGUGGGGAAUAUUGGACAAUGGGCGCAAGCCUGAUCCAGCCAUGCCGCGUGGAUGAUGAAGGCCCUAGGGUUGUAAAGUCCUUUCGACGGGGAAGAUAAUGACGGUACCCGUAGAAGAAGCCCCGGCUAACUUCGCGCCAGCAGCCGC